GUAAAAGUUCGCUUUCUUGCUGUGAUGGCCGCCGCCGAGGCAGGAGUUUGGAGUUUCUGCUGUUCCGGACGGCUUGGGGGGCUCUCUGAAUCGUUAGAGGGCCCCCAGCAGCCCCCAGGAAGCCAGCCACUAAGUAAAAAAUACAGUUCUCUGAGAUCUGUAUGUUAUAAGAAGCCCAAGAGCGUGAGAAGAGGCCCUGGAAGAUGAGACAGCGAGUAGAGAGGUCGAGGAGCACCACGGAACCAGAAGAAGUGAAAUAACUGAACACCUUCUCAACUGAACUUAAAGGAGAAAUUAAGUGCAAUAUUUGGAACUACAUUUAAAUGAAGAUGAGGUAGAAGACAGAACUGUUACAAGUAUGUAAGCUUUAUUGUACAAAUGAAGGCUUCAGCUCUGUUGUAUUCUUAAAUAUUCCUAGCUUCUAUGUAAUUCUCUAAUUAUAGAACUUUAUUUCAUUAUGUUGAACUAGUCCUGAUUUCACCAUGAAAAUCUGACCUGAAACUCUGUUUACAGAAAUAUUGAAUAUGAAUUUAAAAUUAAAUGUUGACUAUUGGUAUAUUAAGAGAUACAAUUUGGUUGAUUCAUAUUUUUUCCAUGUUAAAGAUUAUUCUGAGCUCUAAAUAUUUUAAAUAAAUGAGACUGAAAUCCAAUGUGAUUGUGUCUGACU